CCCUUAGAGUUUGAUCCUGGCUCAGAUUGAACGCUGGCGGCAGGCCUAACACAUGCAAGUCGAGCGGUAGCACAAGGAGCUUGCUCCUGGGUGACGAGCGGCGGACGGGUGAGUAAUGUCUGGGAAACUGCCCGAUGGAGGGGGAUAACUACUGGAAACGGUAGCUAAUACCGCAUAACGUCUUCGGACCAAAGUGGGGGACCUUCGGGCCUCACACCAUCGGAUGUGCCCAGAUGGGAUUAGCUAGUAGGUGAGGUAAUGGCUCACCUAGGCGACGAUCCCUAGCUGGUCUGAGAGGAUGACCAGCCACACUGGAACUGAGACACGGUCCAGACUCCUACGGGAGGCAGCAGUGGGGAAUAUUGCACAAUGGGCGCAAGCCUGAUGCAGCCAUGCCGCGUGUGUGAAGAAGGCCUUCGGGUUGUAAAGCACUUUCAGCGAGGAGGAAGGGUUCGGUGUUAAUAGCACCGUUCAUUGACGUUACUCGCAGAAGAAGCACCGGCUAUCUGC
rnacentral:rRNA from 1 species